rnacentral:tRNA from 1 species
ACUGGAAUAGCUCAGUUGGUUGGUUAGAACUUGUGGUUGGUAACCACAAGGUCGGAGGUUCAAGCCCUCCUUCUAGCG